UCGCCGGAUGUAGGAACCGACCCGGGGACCGCCGGGGGCAACCCCGGCGCCCCCGAGACGGGGCGAACCACGGUGAAAUGACGGAUCGUCGGCCCCGCGCCGGCGACUCGCCGAAUGAGUUUCUGACCUAUCAACUCGAGACGGCGGGGUAGAGGCCCGCCGCGGUAACGACGGGUAACGGGGAAUCAGGGUUCGAUUCCGGAGAGGGAGCCCCGAGAAACGGCUACCACUUCCAAGGAAGGCAGCAGGCGCGCAACUUACCCUAAUCUCGAUUCGAGGAGGUAGUGACAAGAAAUACCGAUGCGGGACCCUACGGGUGCCGCGUUCGGAAUGAGUACGAUUCGAACCACCUAACGAGGAACGAUCGGAGGGCAAGUCUGGUGCCAGCAGCCGCGGUAAUUCCAGCUCCAAUAGCGUACGUUAAAGUUGCUGCAG
rnacentral:rRNA from 1 species